AUGAAUCUGCACAUAGCUCUAUCCCCCAAAAUGGGAGCUGGGUCUAACUUGCUGCUUCCCACCUUUCUAUACUGUGCUGAAGGUCAACAGAUGUUGUCAUUCUCCUUUAGGCCUAUCUGGAAAGGGACAAGCAUCUCUAGACUGAAAAAGCCACCACUGUGUUCAAAAGCAAGGUAUUGCCAAACUGUCAGUAUCCUUUCUGCCAGCCUGGACCAUACCUCCAGCUUGGCUGAAGUUAUUCAUGGUGAGGGCACACCAUUGUUCUUCAUGCCAUCGCUGUCAUUGCUGAAAGAACCUUCCCCCUUUGCUACUUACAAAGAAAAGGCCUAUCCCACUCUCAGCCUUGGAAUGAACCAAAUUCCUCUACAAUGUGUAGACACUGCUGGUGAUAAAGCUGCUGAAAACGCGUUAUAUAAACCAAACUCUGGCACUUGCUAA
rnacentral:lncRNA from 1 species